AUUGAACGCUAGCGGAAUGCUUUACACAUGCAAGUCGAACGGCAGCGCGGGUGCUUGCACCUGGCGGCGAGUGGCGAACGGGUGAGUAAUGUAUCGGAACGUGCCCAGUAGCGGGGGAUAACUACGCGAAAGCGUAGCUAAUACCGCAUACGCCCUUCGGGGGAAAGGUGGGGAUUCUUCGGAACCUGUCACUAUUGGAGCGGCCGAUAUCGGAUUAGCUAGUUGGUGGGGUAAAGGCCUACCAAGGCGACGAUCCGUAGCUGGUUUGAGAGGACGACCAGCCACACUGGGACUGAGACACGGCCCAGACUCCUACGGGAGGCAGCAGUGGGGAAUUUUGGACAAUGGGGGAAACCCUGAUCCAGCCAUUUCGCGUGUGCGAUGAAGGCCUUCGGGUUGUAAAGCACUUUUNNCGGGGAAGAAAAGUGCCGGGUUAAUACCCUGGCGCGCUGAC
rnacentral:rRNA from 1 species